rnacentral:lncRNA from 1 species
GUGGCUGUUUUAAAAGGCGGGUUUUCAUGCGGUCACCUGAAGCUGUUUUUCUCUUUGUGCCUCAGAGUGAGAGGAUCUGGAGGAAGGCGAGACUCCUCUGUAUCUGUGCCCUCUCCUCCUUGUCACACGUGGAGAGUGUGGGGGACCAGAUGACCGGCAAAAUAAAAUAACUCGGGUAGGGUUGUAAGAGAUUAUUUAAUUGAAGAAAAGGUGGCAUGUGACACCAUUUUUAAGUAUGCAAAGAUACAGAGAGUGGCCAGCUGUUUUCCAUCUCGUAGGGGCGAUGCAGUCAGUCCUCCUCAAACUUGCUGAAACUCAGAUGCUUGGACCCCACCCUCGGAGUUUCCAGUCGAGUGGGUCUGGGCUGGGGCCCAUGAAUUUGCAUUUCUAACAAGCUGCCGGGUGAUGCUGGCCCUGCAGAUCAGCAGACCAGGCCUACAGUAUGCGGUUCUGGUCGGAAGCCGGCACAAGGGGUUUCAGCCCAACUUAGGGAACGCUUCAUCAGACAGCAGAGCAAGAGGAUUCUCUCCCCAAUCCUCCAAUUUUUAAUGUUUUUUUCUGGAGGCGUUAGAUUCUCACUUGGUUGGAAUAGAAUGAGUGGGGUUUUUCUUCCUUAAAAAGCAGAUGCUUCUAACUGUAGGAGCAAUUCAAAGGUGAAACGGCCCCAUUUUGAGGCACAGCACCCCAGCAGUCAGUGUUCACAGAGGAGGACAUGUUCGAGGAAAUGUGUUUCAGGACAUGCUGAACUGGUUCAUUCCAUCUCUAUGAUUCCAUGGGGAGCUGCCCACUGUGGACAGGACCAUGUGGUAAGAAUGAAUUCAGCUGGAGGAAACCUUGUAACAGCGGUUCACACAGCAGCAGCUCCAGCUCCAGGAACCACAACAGGGAGCAAAAGUGACAUCCACACAUUCUAAUCGCUCCACAGUCUAGGGACCAGGGCAAAAGAGAGGAAUCAGGAAAAACCCAAGCUGUAUAAAUAUAGGUGGGGGAAUGACGGGUUAUGCCUAAGAAUAGAAAAAGAAAAACCCUCAGGGUCAGAGGAGGUGCUGAGCUGAGGGUAGCUUCAACGAAACUGUCUGGGGCAGAGUGCCAUGCUGGUUUCCACUCGCUGGCUUAGAAGAAGAGAGCUUUGACAGAAUUUACUGUGCCAUGUCCUUCCUCCAUUCGCAGCUUCUAAAUGAUUAAUGGAAGGCCAUAAGGAUGAGGGGAGACUCCAGAGGGAAGUGUUCAAAACGAUUACCUGCUUGGAAGAAAAGAAGCAGCCGGGAGGGGCUUUAAGAGAAUCAUUUAGCUUCUUCACCUGAGGGUAGGAGAGCCAAAUAGUCACCUAGAGGAAGAUGAGUUAGGAACCCUGUGAAACUGUGCCCUGAAGGGUCACUGGGAGAGGUGCUUCAAAACAACCGAUGAGACUCGCUGAGAUGCGGAAGGAUGGCUGCGCCCUCUGCCCGGGGCGGGAGUCACUGGAGCUGGGCUUGUGGGCAGCCGUCCUGCCUGCCUGCUGUUUGAUUUUAAUUCUCAUGCAUCCUGUACUUAAGCAGUACCUGAACUUCUCUGCUGUUCAAUUCCUCUGCAUGUUUGACAAUUUCUCUGACACCUCCUUGAUGGGGGACUCCAUGCUAAAUGUUGAGGUGGCUGGAAAGAAAGGCUGUAAACCAGGCGCCGUGCCCUACAGCAGCUUGCAGUUCCAUUCUGCUCUUGCCCUAUUAUUAUUACGUUUUUUUGCAAAACUGUUAUUCCAAAAGGCCAGCUGGGUCUAAAUAACCCAGGCAAAGUAGUCAGAGUGGGAUGGGGAAAGUUGUUCUGUUCACCUGGAUGAUCUUGUGAUAUUCAUAAAAACAUUGUUUACAUGGUUAGUUUCACAAGAGUGUUUCAAAACUAACUAACCGAAUGAAGAAGGCAAUAGACGGGAAUUUUAGGGGGGAAAAAGGCUCAUUUUUAUCAUUUAAAUAUGUUAUCUUUAUUAACUAAAAUGCAUGUCCUUUUUAACGCUGAG